rnacentral:rRNA from 2 species
UUGGCGGUGCGUCUAAUACAUGCAAGUCGAGCGCUACUUCGGUAGAGCGGCGAACGGGUGAGUAACACGUUGGAACCUGCCUCGAACUCAGGGAUAACAUCGAGAAAUCGGUGCUAAUACCGGAUAGUCCCGCAAGGGUAAAGAUUUUCGGUUCGAGAGGGGCCUGCGUCCUAUUAGCUAGUUGGUGAGGUAAUGGCUUACCAAGGCGAUGAUGGGUAGCUGGUCUGAGAGGAUGAUCAGUCACAGGGGAACUGAGACACGGUCCCCACUCC